rnacentral:rRNA from 1 species
GAUUAACGCUAGCGGCAGGCCUAAUACAUGCAAGUCGAACGGCAGCGGGUCCAGCAAUGGAUGCCGGCGAGUGGCGCACGGGUGCGUAACACGUAUGCAAUCUACCCUUAACUGGGGGAUAGCCCCGAGAAAUCGGGAUUAAUACCCCAUAAUAUUAUGAAGUGGCAUCAUUUCAUAAUUAAAGUUCCGAAGGUUGUGGAUGAUCAUGCGCGACAUUAGCUAGUUGGCGAAGUAACGGCUCACCAACGCUGCGAUGUCUGGGUGUUCUGAGAAGAUUCACCCCAACGCUGGUACGGAGACACGGACCAGACUCCUACGGGAGGCAGCAGUAAGGAAUAUUGGUCAAUGGACGCAAGUCUGAACCAGCCAUGCCGCGUGAAGGAAGACGGCCCUACGGGUUGUAAACUUCUUUUGUACGGGAAAAAAACCACCGGUCGUGAAUCGGUGCUGAUGGUACCGUAAGAAUAAGCAUCGGCUAACUCCGUGCCAGCCGCCGCGGUAA